GCUGACACUUUAUUUACUUUCAGUCCCCCGGCUGAGAAGUGGCUAGCAGCCAAUUAAGUCUGCCGCUCCCCUGAGUUAAAAGUUAGUUCAAGUUCAAGUACCAAUGAUUGUCACACACACACACACACACUAGCUGUCAGAAUAAUUGUAUCGAAGUCACCACAAAACGUUGUGUUACAUUGAGUUCAGCAUGCCCUGAGAGAGGACAAAAGCUGUCUUUGUAAAACUCCACUGGGUAGGAUGGGAAGCGACAUGAAGGCGUCAGUUUCUUUGAUGUAUUGUAAUCCACAGGGAGAUUUUGUCUUGACCCGAGAUCUACAAAGCGGAGAGAAAGCAGGACGCUGCCCAAGCUCCAGGCACCUCUUCGUUGAACUGUUUUACGACCUUUUCUUUGAACUGUUUUGUAACCAAAGGCGAUGGUUGUUUACGACCCCCCAUCCCUUAGAAACAGCUGUUGCCAUGUAAUCAGGGAAAGUCCAAAUAAAAGAGGAGGCGUACAAUCUUUCGUCGGAGCGUCGGACGACACUUUACAAGGAUGCCAUCAGUGUUUGAACCUGACAAAUACCUUUAAAAUUCUUCAGAGCAACCGGAAAUCAUCAGCCCGGAGGUUGGGUCUUGGGCAAGGUUGGGUGUUCCAACAGGACAAUGACCUCAAACACAGGUCAAAAUCAGGCUAGAAUGAAAGUUUUAGAUUGCUCCCCUGAGUUAAAAGUUAGUUCAAGUUCAAGUACCAAUGAUUGUCACACACACACACUAGCUGUCAGAAUAAUUGUAUCGAAGUCACCACAAAACGUUGUGUUACAUUGAGUUCAGCAUGCCCUGCGAGAGGACAAAAGCUGUCUUUGUAAAACUCCACUGGGUAGGAUGGGAAGCGACAUGAAGGCGUCAGUUUCUUUGAUGUAUUGUAAUCCACAGGGAGAUUUUGUCUUGACCCGAGAUCUACAAAGCGGAGAGAAAGCAGGACCCUGCCCAAGCUCCAGGCACCUCUUCGUUGAACUGUUUUACGGCAUUUUCUUUGAACUGUUUUGCAACCAAAGGCGAUGGUUGUUUACGACCCCCCAUCCCUUAGAAACAGCUGUUGCCAUGUAAUCAGGGAAAGUCCAAAUAAAAGAGGAGGCGUACAAUCUUUCGUCAGAGCGUGGGACGACACUUUCCAAGGAUGCCAUCAGUGUUUGAACCUGACAAAUACCUCAAAAUUCUUCAGAGCAACCGGAAAUCAUCAGCCCGGAGGUUGGGUCUUGGGCAAGGUUGGGUGUUCCAACAGGACAAUGACCUCAAACACAGGUCAAAAGUGG